rnacentral:siRNA from 1 species
GAAUCAAGACUUUCCGCUUCCACC